CAAACGGGUGAGUAACGCGUAAACAACCUGCCCUUCGGAUGGGGACAACAGCUGGAAACGGCUGCUAAUACCGAAUACGUUCUUUUCAUCGCAUGGUGAGAAGAAGAAAGGACGGCCUCUACACAAAGCGGUCGCCGAAGGAGGGGUUUGCGUCUGAUUAGCUAGUUGGAGGGGUAACGGCCCAACAAGGCGACGAUCAGUAGCCGGUCUGAGAGGAUGAACGGCCACAUUGGGACUGAGACACGGCCCAGACUCCUACGGGAGGCAGCAGGU
rnacentral:rRNA from 1 species